AUACUUACCUGGACAGGGUUUAUGGGUGAUCAAGAAAGCCCAUUACCUAAGUUGGUGUCCUCCAUUGCACUUGGAGGGGUGCCCGCUUAACAUCUCCCCAAGCGUGAGAGUGUAUGUCAUAAUUUGUGGCAGCGGGGGCACGCGUUCGCACGGCCCCUAC